ACGCACUAUAUAUAAACACAGCCACGUUGCUCAAUUCGCAGCUCAGGCCCAUAUUUUUUCUCGGAGGGAGAGCACGUUUCCAGUAAAAAGUUAGGAUGGAUCCAGGGGAGGAUGAGUUAGAACAUUAUAACUAUGAGCAAGAUAAGUACAUGUCUUCAAACAGUGGUAAGGGGCGUUCAAAGAAAGAAGCAGAGCAGCACACGAAUCACCACGACCCUUCGGGCCACACGAGGAAGACUGUGCAGAAACUCGUCAAUAACUCUCACAAACAGCGGGAUCAGAAACCACAUCCAGUGACCAAGAAAAGUGAUGGAAAUUAGUCCUAAUCUAAUGAAAAUUAAAAGGCAAUUGAAUUAUGUACUUAUACUUAAUGGACUUGAUACCACCAAUCAAUGGACAGGCUGUGAAUGCAAUGAACUGAAGAGAAUUCCAUUUAUUCCUUUACAGAGCUUAAAUUAACAUCAUUGGAGAAUAUUAACAGAUUAGCAAAGCUAAAUACUGAGUUGUUAUUAUGUCAUUAUUGGAUCAGUAAAAAGCAUCUUACAAUGGCUAUUGAGGAACUCCUCUCAGGGUUAAUGGAUCACAGAAUUACCAGAGAGGUGAAUUAUUAGAAGAAAUAUUUUCAAAAGGAAACCAAGCUAAUACAUUUCAACUUGCAGCAUGAAAUAAACAAAACUGGGUGCAGAGAUAUGGCAUUAAAUGUCAUUGUUCUCCUGGGGCUUACAUGUUGAUGUGCAGGACAACUAUAAAACACUUUUCUCUAAAUUUGCCAUAUUGCUCAAGUCCUGGUGCAAAUGUUUUCAAAACUUGUAAAGGUGACACUGGGGCUUUUUUUUAAUUUGUUCUGGGAAGUUUUAUUUUGGUUUGGAAGUCCACCACAAUUUAACAAACUUGCAUUUUGGUAUGUUGGUUCGUAAAAAAAUAUUUGCAACUAUUUAUCCAACCAGUGGUUAUAGCAAGAAAAAAACAUGUUGCCCUUCAGACUUGAAUGUGUAAUGUUUAAGUAAAAGGCUUAUGCUCUGGGAGUAUUAAAGAAAAUAAAGCAAUGCGUUAAUUUGA